rnacentral:rRNA from 1 species
UACGGAGGGGGCUAGCGUUGUUCGGAAUUACUGGGCGUAAAGGGCGCGUAGGCGGCCCGCUAAGUCGAACGUGAAAUCCCCGAGCUCAACUCGGGAACUGCGUCCGAUACUGGCGGGCUUGAAUCCGGGAGAGGGAUGCGGAAUUCCAGGUGUAGCGGUGAAAUGCGUAGAUAUCUGGAGGAACACCAAUGGCGAAGGCAGCUCGCUGGGACGUGACUGACGCUGAGACGCGAAAGCGUGGGGAGCAAACAGG